GCCAUCGUGGUGUAACGCUAGCACACUCGGCGCGUAUUUGAGAGGUCCAGGUUCGAAUUCCGGCGAGGGCA
rnacentral:tRNA from 1 species